CAGAGGGUUUCCCACUCCAUCUUUAAUUUGACUGGGUUAUCUUUUCUGUUCUUCUGUUACUUUAAAUGUGACAUCCUACCUCUAAAGGCCAGACAUUCCUCCAAAACUAACUUCCACCAUCCACCAGCAGGGAGACAAGACUGAAAGAGAUAAGAUACAGGUUCCAAGCACAGGAAGGGAGUGGAGAUAAAAUGGAAAGCAAGAAGAAACAAGGUCUUUGGUGUCCUGGAGCUGCCAAUUUGAACUUUCUCAUCAUCCCAAAUGGAAAUUCUACCCACUACCAAGAACUCCCUGUUUGUCCCUCCUCUCAUGCUGCUUUCUCCUCAAAUGUGACUGUUUUAGAUACCUCAUGUAAGUGCAAUCAUACAAUAUUUGUCUUCUUUUUUUCUUAUGGGUUAUUUGCUUUAGCAUA